rnacentral:rRNA from 1 species
UACGUAGGGGGCUAGCGUUGUCCGGAAUCAUUGGGCGUAAAGAGCGCGUAGGCGGCCAGAUAAGUCGGUGUGAAAGUCAAAGGCUCAACCUUUGAAUGCCGCUGGAAACUGUCUGGCUAGAGUCCGGGAGGGGCGAGUGGAAUUCCUGGUGUAGCGGUGAAAUGCGCAGAUAUCAGGAGGAACACCGGUGGCGAAGGCGGGUCUCUGGGCCGAUGACUGACGCUGGAGGAGCGAAAGCGUGGGGAGCGAACAGG